rnacentral:pre_miRNA from 14 species
UUCUAUUAGUUUGAGUAUGAAAGACCCCCGAAGGGAGCCCCCCACUCAAGUCUCGGGAAAGACGCGCACCCAGUAGGACACAGACACCG